UGGGGAAUAUUGCACAAUGGGCGAAAGCCUGAUGCAGCAACGCCGCGUGAGUGAUGAAGGUCUUCGGAUUGUAAAGCUCUGUCUUUUGGGACGAUAAUGACGGUACCAAAGGAGGAAGCCACGGCUAACUACGUGCCAGCAGCCGCGGUAAUACGUAGGUGGCGAGCGUUGUCCGGAUUUACUGGGCGUAAAGGGUGCGUAGGCGGAUGUUUAAGUGAGAUGUGAAAUACCCGGGCUUAACUUGGGUGCUGCAUUUCAAACUGGAUAUCUAGAGUGCAGGAGAGGAGAAUGGAAUUCCUAGUGUAGCGGUGAAAUGCGUAGAGAUUAGGAAGAACACCAGUGGCGAAGGCGAUUCUCUGGACUGUAACUGACGCUGAGGCACGAAAGCGUGGGUAGCAAACAGGAUUAGAUACCCUGGUAGUCCACGCCGUAAAACGAUGAGUACUAGGUGUAGGAGGUAUCGACCCCUUCUGUGCCGCAGUAAACACAUUAAGUACUCCGCCUGGGAAGUACGAUCGCAAGAUUAAAACUCUAAAGUGAAUUGAC
rnacentral:rRNA from 1 species